CUGAUUUUCCAGGUUGAGAGUGAGUGUUGGGGUGGGUCAGCUCAGUUUUUGGAUUUCUUUGAAGAUUUGAAGUUUGUUGCAUUUUGGUUGAAUUUCUUUGAAGAUCUUCGAGUUUUCCUUGAAGCUCUUUGAAGAUAUUCAUCUUCUCUUUGAUGAUCUUGAGGAGGGAGAUGUUUUUUUAGAAUUUGAAAUCUUUUUGGGUUUUUUUUUUCAAAUUUUGAAAUUUCGUAGGGCUCUCUGUAAUUUUAAAAAAAUUAUGACUAAGAGAAAGAAGAGGACUCCCGGAAGGUGCCGACUAGAUGGCGCAAAGAGUUGUGGUACUUUAGCUUGGGGAGACGAGGGUCCCACAGAUUGGUAUGCUGGAUGGAUGCUCUAGAAGACCCGGGGUCACAUAUGUAACUCCAUAUGGGGCACAUAGGUAAGUCUUUAUUUUGAAAAAUCAUGCAUUUUAUUUUUAUUUAUUAUUUUUUUGUUUAUUUUUUAUUUAUUUUUAGGUGCCCCGUGGGGAAGAACGACCCGCAUUGGCCAGAUACGGCCACCCAAACCCAGCCUGGGAUUGGUAUAGGGUACUUCCCUAUAGAGUUAAGCAGAUUGUAGAUACUUCUUACCUGAGUAGACUAGCCUCGUUGGAGACCUAAAAGUUUAGUCCGGGAUUGGUAGGAGGCUUGAUUGAACGAUGGUGGCUGAGUACUCAUCUUUCCAUCCCCCUACAAGCGGGAUCACCAUCACGCCUUCAUGCUUCUAUGCCUUGAUAGGCAUACCAUUUGGGGGGAGGCCACUAAUCCUGCCUAAGACCUUGGAGGCAGAGGACUUCAUAAACUUGAUAGGUGUUGCCAUUCAGGCUGACCAGAAAUAUGUUCAUCUGUGUGAGAUUAGUGCUCGCUAGUGGAGACCCAGUCUGAGGGUGAAUCCUGGCACAAUGACGCAGUUCACUCGCUCUUUCCUUUUGUAUGCUGUGGGUCAGUGUCUUUUCGACGACCUCCGAGGCUGGAUAGAUAUCCACGUGGCUGCCCUUUUCUAGAAUCUUUGGGAGAUAGAUGCUUUGGAUUGGGGCGGAGUAGCCUAUGCAUAUCUGUUGCAGUCUCUUGACCUUCUAGUAUAUGGAGAUCGUGGCCUCAAGGGAGCGGGCUACAUUAUCCAGCUCUGACGCUACGAGCAUUUGGGUAUCACCGCUCGUUCUCUUCUGAAUGAGCUUACAGAGGGGCUAUCUGGAGACCAUAUCGGCAUUUUGAGUUCCCCAUCGUCGAGGAGAUUGCUUGGGCCAGAUACUUGAUUAAGAACAGAGUUCUGUACAAGGGUCUUUGGGGCCACGCCUGAUAUUUGGGGGAGCAGGUCACUCUCCAGUGGUUUGAUAUUGAUUUACGCUUUCCUCGUCUCCCUCCUCCUACUAUGCAUCAUCCAGGGUUCAUCCCGGAGGACUAGGUCGAGGGAUUGGCUGAAGAAGUAUGGGAUGCCUCCUUCCUAGACAUGAAUGGGCCUCCUUCCUUGAGGAGACAAUUUGCGUCCCCUUUGGUCCUACGGGCCCCAUGGAUGGGGAGAAUGCUUCUUUGAGGAGAUAAGUUAGCUCUUAGUAGUAAGAGCUUGCCCAGCGAGACACUUAGAUUCUGAAUCUUACUCGGAGGAUGGCAAACUCGGGAUUGGCUCUUGAUAACUCCUUGAUGUUCCCUGAGAAUGACCCUGAGUAUGGAUCGGAUGAGGAUGUUGAUUCUUAGGGAUCUGUUCUUCUUGUUCUUGCAAACACAAGCAUAUGUAUAUGUAUAUUUUCUUUUUCCCUCCCCAUGUUCAUUCAUAAUUUUUUUUUUUUACCUUUUGUACUACCAAA